GAGGAAGAGACAUUAGGGAUGUGAGUGCAUAAAGAAAAGGCCACGUGAGGACACAGCAAGAAAGUGGUCAUCUGCAAGCGCAAAAGACAGGCCUCAGAAGAACCCAACCCUAUUGACACUAUGAUCUUGGACAUCCAGCCUCCAGAACUUGUACUGGACAACCUAAGACAGGGAAAUAAAGAUAAAGUUUGGAUUGAAGAGUGAGGAGCCAAAAUAAUGCAGCUUCACAUCUCCUUAAUGGACAGAAGACUACACUGUUUUUGCUGCACCCAGAGAUAAAAUUAUUGGUUUUGGAGUACCUUCACUGAUGCCAGGGGUGUCAUCUUUACCUUCCAUCACAUAAUAUAUAUAAAGAGAAUUUUUCUUAGCUUUAAAUGAGUUGAUAAGAGGACAAGAAGAAAGUCAAGGACUCCAUUUCCAGGAUUAAAAGCGGUUUUUUCCUUUGUCUUCCAAAUCCUAGCAGUAGAAGCAUUUGAGUUCUGCAGAAAUUACUGAAGUGGUUCAAGUGUGGGCAGUCAGGACACUCAGCCCACCAUACUCAACCCCAACUCAACCUCAACUCUCAGUACGGCAGAGAGACGGAGAACUCAGAGCUAUAACUUUCAGGAAUUCUCAAAACCUCAGACAAAAUGCAUCUUUGUUUUACCACCUGUUAAAGUAUAUCCUCAUCUGCCUCAGUGCACAUAAGUAUACAACACUGCAGAUUGUGUUUAACUUCAUUUGCAAUUAAUUUAACGCAUUUUGUAUCCAACAUUUCUACUAGGAAAUAGUAUUAGUCUAUCCCCAAACUAAAAUUCACUGCAAAAAUGUAAUUCACUCAAGAAAAAUAAUGAUAAUUCUUCAAACACCUUGAGAUGUCAUUCAACAAUCAUACCCAAUGGGUAAAAUUUAGAGUUCAACAUUUAGCUUGCAUUUCUUUCUAACCAAACAUCUCAAGUUCAAAAAAUAAAGCAGAUUGUUUUGUGCAUUUGUUAUCACUACCACAUCAAUGGUCACCUACACUUCCUGAGCCCCAAAUAGAACUCUCAGAGAA
rnacentral:lncRNA from 1 species